rnacentral:rRNA from 1 species
UACAGAGGUCCCAAGCGUUGUUCGGAUUCACUGGGCGUAAAGGGUGCGUAGGUGGUGAGGUAAGUCGGAUGUGAAAGCUCGGAGCUCAACUCCGAAAUGGCAUUGGAAACUACCUUGCUAGAGGAUCGGAGGGGAGACUGGAAUUCUCGGCGUAGCAGUGAAAUGCGUAGAUAUCGAGAGGAACACCAGUGGCGAAGGCGAGUCUCUGGACGAUUCCUGACGCUGAGGCACGAAAGCCAGGGGAGCAAACGGG